rnacentral:rRNA from 1 species
UACGUAGGGUGCAAGCGUUAAUCGGAAUUACUGGGCGUAAAGCGUGCGCAGGCGGUUUUGUAAGACCGAUGUGAAAUCCCCGGGCUUAACCUGGGAACUGCAUUGGUGACUGCAAGGCUUGAGUGUGUCAGAGGGAGGUGGAAUUCCUAGUGUAGCAGUGAAAUGCGUAGAGAUGUGGAGGGAUACCGAUGGCGAAGGCAGCCCCCUGGGAUAACACUGACGCUCAUGCACGAAAGCGUGGGGAGCAAACAGG